rnacentral:rRNA from 1 species
GUCUACGGCCAUACCACCCUGAACGCGCCCGAUCUCGUCUGAUCUCGGAAGCUAAGCAGGGUCGGGCCUGGUUAGUACUUGGAUGGAAACAUUGCAUUUUUAAAAGGCAAUAUUUGGAGCUUAGUAC